GAUGAACGCUGGCGGCGUGCCUAAUACAUGCAAGUCGUACGGAAAGGCCCUUCGGGGUACUCGAGUGGCGGACGGCUGAGUAACGCGUGGGAACGUGCCCCAAAGUGAGGGAUAACGCACCGAAAGGUGUGCUAAUACCGCAUAUGGUCUUCGGAUUAAAGCUACGGCGCUUUGGGAGCGGCCCGCGUACGAUUAGUUAGUUGGUGAGGUAAUGGCUCACCAAGUCGAAGAUCGUUAGCUGGUCUGAGAGGAUGAUCAGCCAGACUGGGACUGAGACACGGCCCAGACUCCUACGGGAGGCAGCAGUAAGGAAUCUUCCACAAUGGGGGAAACCCUGAUGGAGCAACGCCGCGUGCAGGAUGAAGGUUUUCGGAUCGUAAACUGCUUUUAUAAGUGAAGAAUAUGACGGUAACUUAUGAAUAAGGAUCGGCUAACUACGUGCCAGCAGCCGCAGUAA
rnacentral:rRNA from 1 species